CAAACGUUCCACAGGACCUUUUUGUUAAGGGUUUGAUGAUGGGAGGGCAUAGUCAUUUGGGAAGGACUGAAAGCUGACAGAGGAAAAUGUGAGGUAGCAUUUGGAUAUUUAAGCUAAUGCAUUUUCUGGUUUUGGAUUCCCGUGAUCAAAUAAUGUUUCCUCAGCUUCACUGAUGUUUGAUAACUUGUUAAGCAAUCAGAAAAUUAAUGGAGAAUAUGAAUGAUUUUCUUUCUGCUAGCAAAGUGUGUAGAACGCCGCUAUGGUUCCUUAAUAGGAACAGCUGAAGAAGUAUUUUCAAUGGCAGACCAUUGCUCCUAUUCACACAUAUGUGGAAGCACCCAUCUCAAAAUUGGUUGCUAUUUGACAGCGUAUUGCAGCUUAAGGCUCCUUUCUUGUUGUGUCUGUUGCACAGAUCUGCCAGUCUGCUGCUUCUGGCACUGGGGGUCUAGAAGAAAAGAGGCAGCAGUGUCAUGCUGCAGCCACAUAUGGUGUGGGCACCAACACGGGGGAGUGUGAAGUGGGGACCAAGAAGUGAGGCUCAAUGUGUGAAAGUUAACAAAUUGCAUGCAUUAACUGGGGCUCUGAGCAGAUUCCGAAACGUUGAAGGGGGAGGAGAGGGAGACUGUUCCUGGUAAAAUGUUGUAUUACUUUUGUAGCUGCAUGCAACUGCUUAGCAUUAUAAAUGUGAACAGAGACAACACUUCAAGUUCUUAUACCUUGGACGUGUAUUAUUUUAUACAGAGGCCAACUGAUAACAAAACAGUACCCUGUUUGCCUCCAUUAGUGACCUGUGCAACCAGUAAGGAAAGAAUUACCAAACUCCAGGAGAAGGAUGAGAUAUAAUUGCCUGAUAGGAUGAUUACAGAACAGGAAAGGAAGUAAAGUGAAACUGAAGAUCAUCUCUUUACUAGGAAGGAUGCAGCCUUAUUAGUGUAGAAGGGUUCAAUUCUAAUUCUCAAAGCUUUGCACUUCUUGGCUUGCUUGGAAAUGAUUUCUGUUUUAUUCGUGCAGACCCCUUUCUUCCUCUAAACUAGAACUCUGUUCAAUCCUUUGUCUGUUAGUCUGAUGACUUUUCCUCUUCCCCAGAUGAUUAUACUUUUUAGUGUAAUUGAUGUAUUAUUUCUUUUUGAAGUCUGGUUUGUGAUUUAAAUUACUUAAGAAAAGUUCAGAGAAAUUUAUCUGAGCUUUAAAUUUCAACUGACGAGAAAAAAAAAUAAAUGUAGCCAUACCAUUUCUUCCUUCAUAAUGUGAUCAAGUUAUGAAGUGUUUUAAAUAGAUUCUUACCUUCCUUUUAAAAUUUAGGAAAUUUAAUUAAAAAAAAAAUCUCCAUAGGAAUCUGCCAAAGAACCUUUUGGAAAAGUAUGAUAAUGACGUCAAAAGAGGCUUAAACUAUAUCUGUGGCUUUCUCAGUUCUCACUCCUGGGUACAGGGAUACGAAGUCUUUAGCUAAUGAAUAUAUGAGUGUGUGUGUGUAUGUGUAUAUAUAUAUACACAUAUUUAUAAAGUGUGUGUGUAUAUAUAAUGAAUAUAUAUUUUCCCCUGAAAGGGUAUCAAAAUGAAAUUCAUCCUGUGAACAGGAUUUCUUUAACUAACAUUGUUAUUGCUUUCACUUACCAAAGGAAAUAACUGCAAUAAAUUAUAGUUUACUCAUCAGUAAGGUUUGUUUCAAGGGUUUUGGG